rnacentral:rRNA from 1 species
CAGUAGCCACGGUAAUACGAAGGGGGCUAGCGUUGUUCGGAAUCACUGGGCGUAAAGAGCACGUAGGCGGAUCUUUAAGUCAGAGGUGAAAUCCCGAGGCUCAACCUCGGAACUGCCUUUGAUACUGGGGAUCUCGAGUCCGGGAGAGGUGAGUGGAACUGCGAGUGUAGAGGUGAAAUUCGUAGAUAUUCGCAAGAACACCAGUGGCGAAGGCGGCUCACUGGCCCGGGACUGACGCUGAGGUGCGAAAGCGUGGGGAGCAAAUGGGAUUAGAUACCCGAGUAGUCCCUGUCUCUUAUAC